UGUUGUGUGGUUUAGUUGGUUGAAGCGCCGUUCUAGCAAAUAUGGAGUCGUGGGUUCGAAUCCCACCAGAACUC
rnacentral:tRNA from 1 species